rnacentral:tRNA from 1 species
GCUCCGGUAGUAUGGCCCGGGCCAGUAUUCCGGCCUUUCGAGCCGGAGACGCGGGUUCAAAUCCCGCCCGGAGCA